AUGAAACCUGCUUUGAUCUUCAUUGUUGUGCUUAUGCUAUUGUGCAUCAUAAAGACUUCAGCAUCUGAUGUCCUUCACUGCGCAGGAGAGAAACAAAGCGAUGGACUGAUCCACCUCAAAAUGAAGCAUGACCUCAAAAAGGUUGCCCGUGACUGUGAGACACAAUUGCUUGUUGAUGGUAAAGUAACGGCAUAUUUUAAUGCUGAGGAAAAUCAAUGCCUCCAGCCCAUUGCCAAUAUAACAGCAAACAGCGCCAUCUUACAGAUCUGCCCUACAGGACUUGAAUGCCACCUCGUUUGCUUCAGUCUCGGUGUAAGUGUCAAAUUGUUGUGGGUUUUUCAAUAUUUUUAUAUAUACUGUUAGGGCAUUCAUUUAAUUUAAAAGCAUUAAUGAAGUUAUACUGCACUUAAUGCUUUGAUUAUGAUUUCUCUUUUUAUGUAUAAUGCAGGUCCAUGAAAAGAAGCCAUGCUUUUGUAAGUAAUUGUUUUACUACUAUUUACUAAUUUGACUGACUACAUUUUGUUUAUAAACAUAUUUGUUUAUCUUAUCAAUAGGAUAUUUUUGACUUGCCCUGUAACUUAAGCUCAAACAGUAUCAAUUAGCGAUGUACUGCAUCUGGUACUAAUGGGCAGUAAUUAGUAAUUGAAACAGUUUAUUUCAGAUUGCAGAUGCCCAAAACAAAUAAAAUUACUUUCAUUUGUAUUCUCGCUGCUCAUUCUGUUGUUUUAAGCUACCGUUAUAUUUA
rnacentral:lncRNA from 1 species